rnacentral:other from 1 species
AGUAUGCUAGAACAUACGUAAGGCUAUAUAUAAAUUCAACCUACAUAUAUAAUACGGGAGACUUAGUUCAUAUAUAAGUAUGACGUGCCCCUAGGGGGAUUUCAGAAAAUAUAAGGCAGGUCACCCACCUGGGUGAAUCUCGGGUGUGAAUUUAGUUAGUCAACGGUGUUUUGGAAUUUCU